AUAUUCUAUUCUAUUCUAUUCUGUUCUAUUCUAUUUACUCUUAAAUAUCUGGCAGUGGAUUGAAUUGAAUUUCUUAUUGUAUCACUCAAUGUGGAAUUGAAGUGUUCUAUUCUAGUCCAAUCUAUGCAGUCAUAAAUGUUUUGAAGCUGAGUUAAUUUAAUAUCUGCUUUAAACUUAAACAGUCAUUGGAGUGGGAUUUCAAUAUUCUGUUCUAAAGCUUCUUUCCACAUACCCAUACGAAAAGAUGGGAGUGCUUACUGUGAGCAUCACAGGUUUAUGUAAAAUGCAGUGCAUCAGUCCAGGUGCACUACAGCUGGGAGCAAGGUCUUGAGUGGUGCAUUGCUGCUGAAAGAGAGAGGCAAUCAGCAUUAAAACAUGGCUGUGGCGGAUCGCAUGUGGGCCAUAGUGUUGAUUUGCUGCAGUCUCCUUGGGCUCUCCAUGGGAAAGGAAUCUAGCAAGGGAAACCCUUAUUGUAUGUUAAAGGAUGAAAACAAUGAACAAUAUUCUACUGGAUACUACUGGAUAUUUUCAACACAGUAUAGAAAAGGAUCCCAACACUGUCACACCAGGCAACGGUGUACUGUCUCUUUAAAUGUGCUACUGCAAAAUGUUCUCCGUUGAUGUGUUCUGCAAAGCAGCAGAUCUGUCCUGUGAUUCCUUGGAGCUGAAAAUCUGGUAUUAAAUGGUGUCCUGCAGAAGGAGAAUCAACGCCAAAUGUUAGCAUUAUCUCAUGAACUUUUUUUCACAUUAGAGAUGUUCUGGCACAUUUGGUGUAAAUGAAAUGGCAAUAAAAUGCUACAUUGUAGAAGCUUGCGUGGAUUUCUUGAACCUUUAGUUUCAACAGUGGUCAGAGAAAGGUCAUAGAA